UAACACGUGGGCAACCUACCUUACAGAUGGGGAUAACUCCGGGAAACCGGGGCUAAUACCGAAUAAUCCAUUUCUUCGCAUGAAGAGAUGUUGAAAGACGGUUUCAGCUGUCACUGUGAGAUGGGCCCGCGGCGCAUUAGUUAGUUGGUGGGGUAACGGCCUACCAAGACCACGAUGCGUAGCCGACCUGAGAGGGUGAUCGGCCACACUGGGACUGAGACACGGCCCAGACUCCUACGGGAGGCAGCAGUAGGGAAUCUUCCACAAUGGACGAAAGUCUGAUGGAGCAACGCCGCGUGAGUGAAGAAGGUUUUCGGAUCGUAAAGCUCUGUUGUAAGGGAAGAACACGUACAGGAGUAACUGCCUGUACCUUGACGGUACCUUACCAGAAAGCCACGGCUAACUACGUGCCAGCAGCCGCGGUAAUACGUAGGUGGCAAGCGUUGUCCGGAAUUAUUGGGCGUAAAGCGCGCGCAGGCGGUCCUUUAAGUCUGAUGUGAAAGCCCACGGCUCAACCGUGGAGGGUCAUUGGAAACUGGAGGACUUGAGUACAGAAGAGGAAAGCGGAAUUCCACGUGUAGCGGUGAAAUGCGUAGAGAUGUGGAGGAACACCAGUGGCGAAGGCGGCUUUCUGGUCUGUAACUGACGCUGAGGCGCGAAAGCGUGGGGAG
rnacentral:rRNA from 1 species